UGUAUUAGCUGAAUUUAAAUUUGAUGUGAGUUUUAAAAUCACAUCGA
rnacentral:snoRNA from 1 species